UACGUAGGGUGCGAGCGUUGUCCGGAAUCAUUGGGCGUAAAGCGCGUGUAGGCGGCCCGGUAAGUCCGCUGUGAAAGUCCAGGGCUCAACCCUGGGAUGCCGGUGGAUACUGUCGGGCUCGAGUCCGGAAGAGGCGAGUGGAAUUCCUGGUGUAGCGGUGAAAUGCGCAGAUAUCGUAAGGAAGACCAGUGGCGAAGGCGAAUCUCUGGACAGUUACUGACACUGAGGCACGAAGGCCAGGGGAGCAAACGGG
rnacentral:rRNA from 1 species